rnacentral:rRNA from 1 species
CCUACGGGAGGCAGCAGUGAGGAAUAUUGGUCAAUGGGCGGAAGCCUGAACCAGCCAAGUAGCGUGCAGGAUGACGGCCCUACGGGUUGUAAACUGCUUUUAUACGGGAAUAACGCGCCUUACGUGUAGGGCUUUGCAUGUACCGUAUGAAUAAGGACCGGCUAAUUCCGUGCCAGCAGCCGCGGUAAUACGGAAGGUCCGGGCGUUAUCCGGGUUUAUUGGGUUUAAAGGGAGCGUUGGCCGCAUGUCAAGCGUGCCGGGAAAUGUCCGGGCUCAACCCGGGCCUUGCAGCGCGAACUGGCGUGCUUGAGUCCGCGGAAAGCAUGCGGAAUGCGUCGUGUAGCGGUGAAAUGCUUAGAUAUGACGAAGAACCCCGAUUGCGAAGGCAGCUUGCUGCAGCGGAACUGACGCUGAUGCACGAAAGCGCGGGUAUCGAACAGGAUUAGAUACCCUAGUAGUC